rnacentral:rRNA from 1 species
CACCUCUAGCAUUACAAGUAUUAGAGGCAUUGCCUGCCCAGUGACUAUAGUUAAACGGCCGCGGUAUCCUGACCGUGCAAAGGUAGCAUAAUCAUUUGUUCCUUAAUUAGGGACUAGUAUGAAUGGCUAGACGAGGGAUCAACUGUCUCUUAUUUUUAAUCAGUGAAAUUGACCUUUCAGUGAAGAGGCUGGAAUACAAUAAUAAGACGAGAAGACCCUAUGGAGCUUAAAUUUACAAGCUUAAUUAUUACUUAAAUACCCUAAUGGAACAAAACAAAAAAACAUAAGCUUAAAAUUUUGGUUGGGGUGACCUCGGAGAACAAAAAAUCCUCCGAAAGAUAUAUAACAUAGACCUACAAGUCAAAGUAACUCAAUUAUCUUAUUGACCCAAAAAUUGAUCAACGGACCAAGUUACCCUAGGGAUAACAGCGCAAUCCUAUUUAAGAGUCCAUAUCGACAAUAGGGUUUACGACCUCGAUGUUGGAUCAGGACAUCCCAAUGGUGCAGAAGCUAUUAAUGGUUCGUUUGUUCAACG